AGAUAGGUAUUUAAUGACAGCCAGAGCAGAUCAGGGGCGAUCUUUCUGUCCCAGGCGCUAUUUUAAAGAUGUCAGGCAGCCAGUAGCAAAUUCUUAGUGGAGUUGAGCGGCGAAGCCAAGGGCAGAUCUGACUCUUGACGCUUGUCACAGGAUGAACAUUGCAAGUCGGCGAGUCCCUGGAAGUGUGGGUGCUCCUGGAAAUGACGAAUUGCUUGACGAGAGAGAAGGAAAAAAAAGUGCCAUGAUGGAAUGGCGGAGCAGACUCGAUGGGCCAAUUGGCCUAAUUCUGCUCCAAAUCCAUAAGGGUCUUCUGGCCUUUUCAAAGUUGGGUCUGCUUGGAAACCUUUCCCUUCAGGAUGCACUUUUCCAAGCUACAUCACUAACACCUGUGAUCCCUGAAAUUUUCCACAAAGUUAAUCUUCCAUUAUGUACCGGCAGUAUACCAAUGGAAUCAAGCAGCAGUUUGAUUUUGGAUCAGAGAAUUUGGAAAGUUCUGUAAAAGUGUUAACCUUGAAGCCAAUGAAUCAACAAAACACAAAUUCAUUGGAAGGUGAAUGCUUAGAUGGUUCAGCAUGAAUAUAUUAUUUCUUCAGCUAUGGAAAUAGUAAAGAUGAAGGCUAACGUCCAACAAAACUCAGUUGUUAGUAUCAAUGUGAGUAUUUCUUGUAAAAACUAAAUGGUUGUAAAUGCUUGCUACUUCAUCACAGUAACAAUCUAAAAUUAUGUAUUCCCCUUCAUGUCCUUCAACAUAUUACCUUUAUUAUAAAUUGGCAUUUGCCGUACAAAAUUGCCAGUUUACAGUACAACUCCAUGUUUGGAAAGCAAGAGACUGUAUCAACACUGUAAUUAUAAUAUGUAAAAGAAAACUUAACCCUGAAUUAAUGCGUAAUCUACAACCACAUUCAUCAAAUUAAGUUUUUCCCCAUUUCCUUGUUCACAGGGUACUUUUAAGUUCAGGGACAGAGAGCAUGUCUUCAUUAGAAACAUUAACAUUCACAGGCUGUAGUAAAUUUUGACAGUGAAAAGGUCUCUGUAACCUUUAGUUGUGCAGAAAUUUACUUCCCAGGAAAAUUACAGCUGGCACUGUCUUAAUUAAUGCUGACUCUCUUGCCUGAAAGUUGUACGGUUGUCAGUAAAACAGGAUAAAAAACUGAACUAAAAGGCUAGAUGCAAAGGUAUUGAACACUAAAACUGAUGCUAUUAUAUUUCACUAUACUUUACUGUUUAUAGAAUUGUGAAAUAGUUGAAAGAUUACAGUAUUUCAUUUGUGUUUGUAACUAGUACUUUAGAGUGCACCUAAUGCACAUUAUACCUUGUGCUAAUUUCUAGUCCUGUCUAAUGGCCUCACAGGCAGCUGCAGUACCAUAGAGAUCAAUCCAUGUCUGCACCACUGGACCAGGUCGAAUAAGAAUCAACUUCAUACCUGUGCAAAUAUAUAUAAAAUAUGUAUAAUACAUAUUUGUCUGACGAGAAGCUUGUCAACAAGUCAGCUCAAUGAAGAUAUCAUUUUUUUUCUGUUAUGCUUUGAUGCCUUUGAAUUAAUGAAUAUUUCCACAGAAUUUUACAUUCAGUAAUUUUGUUUUGUACACACAGGAGCUUUCCUUCUAUUCUACAAUUUGUUUCCUUAUUUCUGAAAUUACUAUUUUCAUGCCAAUGAAAAUGGUGAAAAUGUCAUGUCCUAAUUUCCGGUUAAAGUCAGUCAUAUACUAAACAUAUGUUAGCAGACCUAAAUGUGCAAACCUUCUAUUGUUCCUCCAAACAAGGGAACAUGUUGUUUAGCUGAUUUACAUUAGGAUCGAUAGGACGUUAAUUGAUUUCUCCCAAUAAAAAACAUUAUGACUUUAAAAAUAAUUUUAUUGCACCCUGCUGAAAGAAGGACAGGAACUUUCACCUUGGGACCUGUAUUUAAAUUCUGGGAUAUAAGUUCCUGUUGUUUUCUGGGUAUGAAGAAUCCUUCUGAAGAAGCUACCCCUUGUCCAAUCAAAAUUAAAGAACAGUUGAGAACUUUAUGCAAAGCAGGCACAUAGAUAUGGCUUAUGAGAAGGUUCAUGCUGGUUCUGGAAAGGCUGCUGUUGUGAGACUGAGUUAAGACACAUCAAGGGAAAAGAUCUUCUGCAGGCUAUAUGCGAUGAAGUGAUAAACCAAUUUAUAAUGAAAUGGUUUAUGAUAUUGCUGCACAUAGUGAACAAAGGGAAUCUUCUCCAUUGUUGGAGAGGAGCAGUCUGAGCAUCACUUUGCCUCUGGCGAUUCUCUAACUGAUGUGAAAGUGUGUGGUGAUAACAUUGAGCGUCUAAACAGAAAUAUGUUCCAUCAUAACUCACCUUGCUAAGUUAAAAUAUAUGAACUUAAAAUGUUUGGUGGAAUAUACAGAAGUUUCACUUCAGAAUAUAAAAUGAAGAGGCCCAAAGUUCUGUUGAAUCUGCAUCCCAUGUCCUUGAAUUCCCAGCAAGUGGAUUACAUGAGCAAACCUUUUUACACAUUAGCAGAAUAUGACCAUAAUCUAUAUAAGUUUUCCCUACAGAUGUUUAUUUAUGCCAUCCUGUAAAUCCUCAGACAUCAAGAGGGCCAAAAUUCCUCCCAACAAAAUAAAAUACAAGGAAACCUGCUUAUCUCUAUAAUUAAUCACCUGGCAACUAAAUCACUGUUACAUGCAGCUGCAAACAUGCGAUUCUUUAGAAGGAUUUUGUUAGCGGUAACUAAACCAUGAAGAAAAUAGGAUUUCUCCUAAUUUUUUACUCUAUGUAGUCCAGGCUAUAGAGAUCUCUGUACAUACUGUGUAUAGGAUGAAUAAUCAUUUCAAAAUGAAAAGUAUGGGAAACUUAGUGAGGCUGUGCUGUAGUUUUGCCAGCUGGGGUUGUUGCUCCAAGUGUGUAGUCUUUCUGAAUACGUUCUAUAAUCUAUUUUUGUAUCUGCCAACUCUUCUUAGUAUGCAUAGUGUUAUUCCAUGACAUUUAUGUUUACAAUCUCCGCACUGUAGCUGGUUAAGAUUAAUUUUCAUCAUAGUUUGUUCACAGUAUCACAAAACAGGCUGUCAUAUGCAUUUUAAGUCACAAUCAUUUGUCAGUCCAUUGGUGUAACAUAUUGGCGUGCUAAUUCUCAGCACUGCUAAUAAGCACAUCGUUUGUUGGCAUUUAUGAUUCCUCAUUUGGGAAGAUUCCAUUCUGCUGGUGCGUACAGAGCCAAGGAACUUUCCAGAGGCAAUAAGACUGGAGAGUAAGUCAUUGUAGUUCUCACCCUCUCAUUCCAGCACUAUGAAGGAAAUACCUUGAUGGAGUACUGGGAUCAGAUGGUAGGUUGCCAGCAGUGUUACCUACCUAGAAAUGGAAGAGAAGUAACUUUAAAUAAUGUUAUCUGAAAGGAAGAUAAAUGGUAUGCUGUUGUUUAUUGCAUGCAAAUUGUAGUAAAAGGUAAAUACAUUUAACUGAAAUUAUCUGAGACAACACCUGAAUACUGUGUGAAGAUAUGGUUUCCCAAAUGAAGGAAACAUGUACUUGUGAUAUUGGAGUAUAACAGUGGUUUAUCAGAUUGAUUCCUGAGGGAGGAUCAUUGUCCUGUGGGGGAAACUAAGUAGACUGAGCCUACAUUUUCUGUUGUUCAGAAGAAUGAGAGGUGAUCAACAAAUUUAUAUGUGGCUUGGCAGGAUAGAUGUAGGGAAGACAUUGUGGCCCCUUGGAUCCACAGUCUCAAAAUAAAGUGCAACCAUUGAGGACUGUUUACUUCAUUCAGAAGGAAGUGAUUGUUUAUAAUUCUCAACCCAGAAGGGUGUGGAGACUCAGUUACUUAGUAUAUCCAAGGCAAAGACAAAUACUGUAAAUUUCUAAAUAUUAAAUUGAAUGUGGUGUUGUUUCAUAAGUGGCUCUGUGGGAAAAAGUUCAGCUUUCAUCUUAAUCAAGAUGGCAGAGAAAUGGCCUACUGCUGCCCUAUUUCUGACACUCUUAAAUUAAAAACUUUAAGCAGGUGACAAAUACAUAGAUUUCAUACACUUGAUCCUUUCAAUCGUGUUAGUGCACUUUCUAUGCACUGAAGUUCUUUGCUUGUUGUGUGCAGCAUGUAUAAUUUCUCAGAACAGGUAAAAUUCUGUUGUAAGGUGUUUUAACCAGUGGGAAUGGGAGUGUUUACUCUGUUGCAUUCAUCUCUUCCUGCACUAUUACUGCUUGCUGUGGCUUUCACCAAACAUUCUUGGUGGGACAGCAUCUCUCUGACUUGGGUGUGAACCUCACACAUGUAUUAAAGUAUCAGUAGACACUCAGAGUUCAGCCACAGGAAGAGGUCACCAGAUGGACAAGGGAAGAGAUUCAAGGAUAUUAUCAAAGCCUUCUUUAAAAACACGAAAUGCCACUGACUCCUGGGAAUCUCUGGCCCAUGACUGCUCAAGGUGGUGCUGAAGCCUUCAGGAUGGUACUGAGAAGUUUGAGUCCAUGUAUUAGAAGUUCAACAAAAAUGGUAGUAGGAACAAGUUAUCCAUCCACCCAUCCCACCAGGCACUCCCUGCCCCAUCUAUGGUAGACUCUACAUUGUCCUCAUCAGUCACCACAAAUCCACCAAUGUGGAAGCACUCCUUCCCCCUCAAUCCCAAGAGACCACCUAAGGUGAAGAAUUAGCAUUUUGAUAGCUGAUGACUGUAAUCGAAGUUGAGGCCCCAAAAAAUGUUUUUAAAAUAUCUUUUUGUGAGUGGACAGGAGUUGGAGUGCUCCCUCAAGCCCCAAAUGAGAUGUCUGGCCUUGAAAGUCUCCCGUGACUUCUCACAUUUCUGCCUGAGAAAUCAUCAGUCACAGUCUCCUUCUCUUUCCCAAUUGCAAAUGCACUCAUAACUUGCCAGCAACUAGGUUGCAGGUUACUCAAAAUGUCUGCAGUUGGCCAUUCUCAGGCAGCAAGCCUUAACUGGAGCCCAGGUGUUAAAUCAACUACCUAGGAUGGCAGAUGUGUUUCUGCCCACAUUUUCAAGAAGCACAGAUAGGUGAGGAACAGGCAAAGAACCCAUGAAUGGACAUGUAAGUGUGAGUAUAUGUAUGUAUGUACAGUAUGUAUGUGUUAAGUGGCUGCCCCCAAGUAGCCGGUUUCAUAGAAAUAGUUAAAAAGGUAUAUUAAAAAAAAAGACAAACUACUAUUUGACUGAGGAAAAAAUUAUGUAUUUAAAUGAAAUACAGAAUAAAUUAGAACACAACCAAAACUACUACAGUGCUAUAAAACUGUGUAUUAGUUCUUAAUAGUUAUCGAUGAAGGAAUUCAUUCACUGUAAGCUGACGUAUUCUUUUGAUUGACAAAGGAUGAAAAAAAUCAGUGCAACUACCUCGUGGAGAUAGUGGAUUGCCUUCAAACAAUGCUUUCAACAAUUGCAUCCUCCAAAUCUUCAUUUUAAUUGUAGCAUUCAAGAUAAUUGUUGAUACCUUCAAAUUCUUCAUAGUUUCUAACUUGUUGAAGUCAUGAAAUCAUUUCAUUUUCACUUCCGGCCAUUUCUGGCAUCUCCAAACCUAAUGCUUGAAACCACAGUGAACAAAACGGUUCCGAAUUGCCUUACUGCUUAUCACUCGCCAAGUAUCAGUGAUAAAAAUCACUGCUUUUUGAACACAAACAUACAAGUGACACUAUUUAGUGUAUUUUAUGUAAUGCGCUGUUUUGUAGCCACAAAGCAACAAAUUUCACAACGUAUUAUGUCAGUGAUGAUAAACCUGAUUCUGAUUCUGAAACACAGGCAAGUAGGUCUAGUUUCUCAGGCUCCAUGGUUGGCACGAAUGAGUUCAGGCAAAUGGUCUGUUUUCAUCCUGUAGUAUUCUCUGACUCUAUCUGCCUCCAGUUGUAAUCACUCCUCUACAAUGAUGACAUUGUAUAAUUUAGACAUUAACAUCAUUACUGCAUGCAAGA